ACGGGGCGCAGCAGGCGCGAAACCUUUACACUGCACGACAGUGCGAUAAGGGGAUCCCAAGUGCGUAGGCAUAUAGUCUUCGCUUUUGUCCACCGUAAGGAGGUGGACGAAUAAGGGCUGGGCAAGACCGGUGCCAGCCGCCGCGGUAAUACCGGCAGCCCGAGUGAUGGCCGAUCUUAUUGGGCCUAAAGCGUCCGUAGCUGGCCGCGCAAGUCCAUCGGAAAAUCCACCCGCUCAACGGGUGGGCGUCCGGUGGAAACUGCGUGGCUUGGGACCGGAAGGCGCGACGGGUACGUCCGGGGUAGGAGUGAAAUCCUGUAAUCCUGGACGGACCGCCGAUGGCGAAAGCACGUCGGGAGAACGGAUCCGACAGUGAGGGACGAAAGCUAGGGUCUCGAACCGGAUUAGAUACCCGGGUAGUCCUAGCCGUAAACAAUGCCUGCUAGGUGUGGCUCCCACUACGAGCGGGUGCUGUGCCGUAGGGAAGCCGCUAAGCAGGCCGCCUGGGAAGUACGUCCGCAAGGAUGAAACUUAAAGGAAUU
rnacentral:rRNA from 1 species